rnacentral:rRNA from 1 species
AACGUAGGAGCCAAGCGUUCUCCGAAUUUACUGGGCGUAAAGCGCGUGCAGGCGGCUCGAUAAGUUGGCUGUGAAAUCGCCUGGCUCAACUGGGCGAGGCCGGUCAAGACUGUCGGGCUAGAAGGCAGGAGAGGGAGGUGGAAUUCCCGGUGUAGUGGUGAAAUGCGUAGAGAUCGGGAGGAACACCAGUGGCGAAAGCGGCCUCCUAGGCUGCACCUGACGCUUAGACGCGAAAGCUAGGGGAGCGAACGGG